GAGAAAUGUUCGCAUAACCGCAGCAGCCGUUGACGGAGACACAGGUUUUAAUAUCGCUUAAAAUAAAAUAAAAAUGAGUAGAGAAGCAUUCAUCAGAGCAAUACAUACGCUCACAAAUGAUCAAUUCACUUAUCUGACGGGCCGACUGAUGUUGGUGCAAGUACGAGAGAUUGUGCCUUUAUUAUUGCACUAUAAUGAAUGCAAAAAUAUCAAUUGCAACCGAUUCAAAUGCCGGAGUACAAAAUCACUAAUGGCACAUGUAACUCUUUGUGUGGAUCAACACGGCAACAAGAUCAAAACUUGCAUAAAAUGUCAGGCAUUGGCAUUUAAGAUCGCACUACAUGCAAAACGUUGCCCGGACGCAACGUGUAAAGUCCCAGCAUGUUGGAUGUUCAAGUAUUGGUAUACUACUGGACAAGCACCUACAAGAAGGAGAAGGGCUUGAGUUGAAGAGAAGAGAAUUUUUUUUAAAUAAAAUUGUUAUUUAUCACUA